GACGAACGCUGGCGGCGUGCUUAACACAUGCAAGUCGAGCGGUAAGGCCCUUUCGGGGGUACACGAGCGGCGAACGGGUGAGUAACACGUGGGUGACCUGCCCUCAGCUCUGGGAUAAGCCUGGGAAACCGGGUCUAAUACUGGAUAUGACUCCAUGACGCAUGUUGUGGGGUGGGAAGCCUUGUGCGGCUGAGGAUGGGCCCGCGGCCUAUCAGCUUGUUGGUGGGGUGAUGGCCUACCAAGGCGACGACGGGUAGCCGGCCUGAGAGGGCGACCGGCCACACUGGGACUGAGACACGGCCCAGACUCCUACGGGAGGCAGCAGUGGGGAAUCUUGCGCAAUGGGCGAAAGCCUGACGCAGCGACGCCGCGUGAGGGAUGACGGCC
rnacentral:rRNA from 1 species